rnacentral:lncRNA from 1 species
GAAUGAAGAAUCACUCUUACUGAAAUUAUUUGUUUCACAAGCAAGCAAACUAUAAGAAGCGAUCAAGCAAUUCAAAGGCUGCAAAUUAAUCAUGUCUAUUUCUAUGUCUAUCUAUCUGUCGCAAGCAUCAAACAACAUCUAUAUCUUUACAAAAAAGCCAAAAGCUACCAGAUGUUAUGGAGUUCAAUGAAUCUUCCUGCCGCUCCCUCUGUGAUCCAGUAGAACACUCGUCACAACCUCAAAAUAUGCACAAAAAGCAUCAUUUUAACCAUGUUCCUCAUUCAACCUCUAUAAAUUCAAAUACACCAAAAGCUUACCUGAAUCUUCUUCUUCUUCUGUAUGAUGAAUCUUGCUGUGGCUCCCUGUAUGAUUCACGAGAACACACUUGAGAACCUGAAAAACGCACCAAACAUCAUGAUUGUGUUCUACCCUGAAUCUAACCAACUCAA